rnacentral:rRNA from 1 species
GUCUGUCUGAAUAAAAUAGAAAGUCUAGCCUGCCCACUGAGGUAUUAAAGGGCCGCGGUAAUUUGACCGUGCGAAGGUAGCAUAAUCAGUAGUCUUUUAAUUGGAGGCUUGUAUGAAUGGUUGGAUGAGGGACAUACUGUCUUUUUCUUUAAAAUUUAUAAUUUGACUUUUAAGUGAAAAGGCUUAAAUUUUUUGAAGUGACGAUAAGACCCUAUAAAACUUUAUAUGGUUUUUUUUUCUUUAAAAAUUAAGUUUUAAAUUAAAGUAGGAAUAACAAUAUUACGUUGGGGAAACGUUGAUAUAAGAUUAUUGUAAUUGUUUUAAGAAUUUAAUAAUUAUAAUUAGAGAUUUCUGAUCCUUUAUUGGGGAUUAAAAGGUUAAGUUACUUUAGGGAUAACAGCGUAAUUUUCUUUGAGAGUUCUUAUCGACAAGAUUAGUUGCGACCUCGAUGUUGAAUUAAAAUUUCAAGUAGGUGUAGCCGCUUACUUAGUGGGUCUGUUCGACCUUUAAAAUUUUACAUGAUUUGAGUUCAAACCGGUGUGAG